UGGCGUGGUGACGUAGGGGCGGGGGCCGCGCCUCUUUCUGCAGCUACUCAGGCGUGGGUUUAGAAUCUGUGAGGGUCUGUGGGGUGUCCCGCGUGCCCAAGGCGCGCGGUUUGUUUUUGGCGUUUGCUGCUGAAUGUGUUGUCUCCGUUCCGCCCUUUAGGGAAGCGGGAAGCAGCAGAGGUUCCGUGGGGACCGAGCUGGGACCCUUGAAGGGGAAGGGGUCUCGAGCGCCUAAGGGCUUGCUGCGGCCCGGAAGAGGGGCGAGGAGAGGGUCCCCGCGGGCUGCGUCCGAACGCUCCCUGCAUCAGGGCAGGUCACGAGGAGGGCCUGGGCAGCCGCGCGAUGUUCGGGGCCCGGUGUCUCCUCCGAGCCCUGCGCUCCUGUUCCUCCGUUCCCUGCCCAAGGCACAAACCUUCAACAAAACUGAGCGUGCGGGACGCUCUCGGUGCCCAGAACGUGAAUGGGGAGCGCGUUAAGGUCCAGGGGUGGAUUCGUUCAGUCCGAUCCCAGAAGGAAGUCUUAUUCCUACAUGUAAACGAUGGUUCAUCCUUGGAAAGCCUGCAGGUUGUAGCAGAUUCGAGCUUUGACAGUAGAGAACUGGCUUUUGGGAGUUCUGUGGAGGUUCAAGGGCAGCUAGUAAAAAGUCCAUCCAAAGGACAAAAUGUGGAACUGAAGGCAGAAAAAAUUGAAGUUGUUGGAAAUUGUGAUGUCAAGGCUUUCCCUUUAAAAUAUAAAGAGCGGCAUCCUCUGGAGUAUCUGAGACAGUAUCCUCACCUUCGGUGCAGGACUAAUGUUCUGGGUUCUAUCCUGAGAGUUCGCAGUGAAGCCACAGCUGCUGUCCAUUCUUUUUUUAAGGACAGUGGCUUUGUGCAUAUUCACACUCCAGUAAUCACAUCCAACGACUGUGAAGGGGCCGGAGAACUUUUUCAAGUUGAACCUUCAAGCAAAAUAAAGGUACCUGACGAGAACUUCUUCAGUGUUCCCGCUUUCUUAACUGUCUCGGGACAGCUGCAUCUCGAAGUGAUGUCCGGAGCUUUUACUCAAGUGUUUACCUUUGGUCCAACAUUCCGAGCAGAGAAUUCUCAGACCCGGAGACACCUGGCCGAGUUUUAUAUGGUAGAAGCAGAGAUUUCUUUUCUUGAGAGCCUUCAAGAUCUCAUGCAGGUUAUGGAGGGCCUCUUCAAGACGGCGACAAGGGCCGUUCUCGCAAGUUGUCAGGAAGACGUUGAACUCUGUCACAAGUUCAUAGCUCCUGGACAAAAGGACAGAUUAGAACAUAUGCUAAAACACAACUUUCUAGUCAUUUCUUAUACUGAGGCAGUGGAGAUCUUAAAGCAAGCAUCCGAGAACUUCACCUUCACCCCAGAGUGGGGUGCUGAUCUACACACGGAGCAUGAAAAGUACCUGGUGAAGCAUUGUGGUGACAUCCCGGUCUUUGUCAUUAAUUAUCCCUUAUCUCUCAAGCCAUUCUACAUGAGGGAUAACGAAGAUGGCCCUCGGCACACAUUAUGGGUAGGGUUUCUUGCCCUUUUGGGAGGCUUAAGUUCUGCUGCCAGCGUUUAGUAGAGGUGCCGUGCACGUGUGGAUGUCUGUUUUUGAUGUGUGCGGUGGAAGGUGAGAGCGGUGCCUUACUCUUCCACCAUCUUGGUCCUUCUCUCGUAAGUAACGUGUGUAUCGUAUUCAUGCAGAAAACAUUUUGGUAAGUACACCACAUAAAUGGUGCCAGAGGGGAGAGGUAAUUGUCCACCUGCAUUUUGUAGUCUAAAGAUUAUAUUAAACAUAUGGGUUUGAAACAGGGAACGUGAGUUGGUAACAUAAGAUUCUGGUAAGCAGUUAAACAGCCAGUUGUCCAAAUGUUAAAAGUUCUACUUGCUUGAGAAGCUGACACUUACUGGAAUACCCUGAAAAAGGAGUGUGUUUAUGUCUUUUUUUCUCUUUAGGUUGCUGCUGUUGAUCUUCUGGUUCCUGGAGUUGGAGAGCUUUUUGGAGGAAGCCUCAGAGAGGAACGGUAUCAUUUCUUAGAGCAGCGGUUGGCCAGGCUGGGACUCCAAGAAGCCUACCAGUGGUAUCUGGACCUCCGUCGAUUUGGAUCUGUACCGCAUGGAGGUUUUGGGAUGGGAUUUGAACGCUACCUGCAGUGCAUCUUGGGAAUUGACAAUAUCAAAGAUGUAAUCCCUUUUCCAAGAUUUACUCAUUCGUGUCUUUUAUAGCUGGAAGAUUGGUUAAGGAAAACCACACCAGCGGAGGUACUGCACAUGAACACACACGGGAGAAUGCAUGUUUGAACUGCAGAAAUGCAGGAGUUUUCAAUAUGUAAUUGUCAUGCUGGGAGAUAGAUGAAAAAUACACAUGAUCAGGAUUUUAUUAGAAAGUUGAAGGCAUUUCAUGAAAAGAUGAACUCGCUCAAGAAGAGGACUUAUAGCAGAUGGAAUCUCAGAUCUGCUGUAUCAAUUAAGAAGAAAUGAACAAAUUGAAUUAGAUGAUAUUAAAGGUCCUUUCAAACUCGAAGACAGAAUGAAAGAGUGUAUUUUACUUAGUCUUUAAUCAGUAGGCCACUGCCCUGUGUGAACUUGGAGAAGCAACUAGUAGCUAAAAAUAAAAUGUUGGAUCUUUUCUCACUUGCCAUUUAACCUAUCGUAAAUUCCCAUGUUAUUCUCAGUGCUUUACUAAACAUCACAGAAGAAAAUAUUCCUUUUGGGAGUCUUCAUUGAGUUAAUAAAGCUGCUGUUGUGAAUUGAAAUCUUUUUUCAUCAGACUGCCUGAAAAAAUUACAUUUAAUAACUGUUGGUCCUUAAUUAUAAAAACUGAGAUAUAUUAAUUAUUUAAGCGAAUCACUGGUAUGUUACAGUUAGUUUAUGUUAGAUGUUUAUAAUGUUUCUGCUAAGCAAUAAAAAUAUACUUUUGAUGCCUAUGAAAGAAAGAAACAGGUUUUUAAAUUCCAUUUGGCCUUUUCCCAGUGAAAUUUGGAAGAAAGGUAUUUUCAAUCCAAGACAUAUAUAGCUAAACCUAAAGGGUGAGUAAUUCUGGAGUCAAAAAGUAACGGAGGGUAUCGAAGUGAGAAGAUCCCUGAUCUGGGCGUUCGUGACCUGACAGCUCUGGCACCGCAUGUGUGAGUUCAGAUGAACCACUCACUCUCUCUGAACUCAUGCGUCAGUUUCCUCACAGAGUUGAUAUAGUAGUUACAUAACUCUGUGUGUGUGUGUUUCAGACUGUGAAAUGCUGCCUAAAUUUUGUUAAACUCUUUACCUUUAGUCUUCAUUGAGGCACGGAUCGAUGGACUUAAUGGCAAAUUGUAAACUCAGUACAAUUUAUAAUCCUAUGUAUUAAAUGAUUAUAAGAAGACAUAA